rnacentral:rRNA from 1 species
AUUGAACGCUGGCGGCAUGCCUUACACAUGCAAGUCGAACGGUAACAGGUUAAGCUGACGAGUGGCGAACGGGUGAGUAAUGUAUCGGAACGUGCCCAGUCGUGGGGGAUAACUACUCGAAAGAGUGGCUAAUACCGCAUACGACCUGAGGGUGAAAGCGGGGGACCGUAAGGCCUGGCGCGAUUGGAGCGGCCGAUACCAGAUUAGCUAGUUGGUGGGGUAAAAGCCCACCAAGGCGACGAUCUGUAGCUGGGCUGAGAGGACGACCAGCCACACUGGGACUGAGACACGGCCCAGACUCCUACGGGAGGCAGCAGUGGGGAAUUUUGGACAAUGGACGCAAGUCUGAUCCAGCCAUGCCGCGUGCGGGAAGAAGGCCUUCGGGUUGUAAACCGCUUUUGUCAGGGAAGAAACGAGUUUCUCUAAUACAGAGACUUAAUGACGGUACCUGAAGAAUAAGCACCGGCUAACUACGUGCCAGCAGCCGCCGUAAAAC